AUUGAACGCUGGCGGCAUGCUUUACACAUGCAAGUCGAACGGCAGCGCGGGCUUCGGCCUGGCGGCGAGUGGCGAACGGGUGAGUAAUACAUCGGAACGUGCCCAGUUGUGGGGGAUAGCUCGGCGAAAGCCGGAUUAAUACCGCAUACGACCUGAGGGUGAAAGCGGGUGAUCUUCGGACCUCGCGCUAUUGGAGCGGCCGAUGGCAGUUUAGCUAGUUGGUGGGGUAAAGGCCUACCAAGGCGACGAUCUGUAGCUGGUCUGAGAGGACGACCAUCCACACUGGGACUGAGACACGGCCCAGACUCCUACGGGAGGCAGCAGUGGGGAAUUUUAGACAAUGAGCGAAAGCCUUAUCCCGCAAUGCCGCGUGUGUGAUGAAGGCCUUCGGGUUGUAAAGCACUUUUGGCGGGAACGAAAAGGACUGUGCCAAUACCACGGUUCGAUGACGGUACCCGCAGAAUAAGCACCGGCUAACUACGUG
rnacentral:rRNA from 1 species